CCUACGGGAGGCAGCAGUCGAGAAUCAUUCACAAUGGGGGAAACCCUGAUGGGGCGACGCCGCGUGGGGGAAUGAAGGUCUGCGGAUUGUAAACCCCUGUCACGUGGGAGCAAAUUAAAAAGAUAGUACCACAAGAGGAAGAGACGACUAACUCUGGGCCAGCAGCCGCGGUAAUACAGAGGUCGCAAGCGUUGUUCGGAAUCACUGGGCGUAAAGGGUGCGUAGGCUGUUUCGUAAGUUGUGUGUGAAAGGCGCGGGCUCAACCCGCGGACGGCACCUGAUACUGCGAGACUAGAGUAAUGGAGGGGGAACCGGAAUUCUCGGUGUAGCCGUGAAAUGCGUAGAUAUCGCGCGGAACACUCGUGGCGAAGGCGGGUUCCUGGACAUUACCUGCCGCUGAGGCACGAAGGCCCGGGGAGCGAACCGGAUUAGAUACCCGAGUAGUC
rnacentral:rRNA from 1 species